rnacentral:tRNA from 1 species
GACCCCUUCGUCUAGAGGCCUAGGACACCGCCCUCUCACGGCGGCAACACCGGUUCGAAUCCGGUAGGGGUCGCCA